rnacentral:lncRNA from 1 species
AAUAAAGCAGUGUUUUACAGCAGCCCAGCAGCACAGGAGGAUCUGGCAGUACUGGUGAAGUCCUUUCUCUGAACCAGACAACAGAAGCUGCUCUCCUAGUUCAUGGUUGCUCCUUCCCACUGGCAAACAACCUCGGGGAAUCUGCUUUCAGGUUGAGCCUGCUGCAAGGUGGAGGUGAAGAAAUGCGCAUCCAUCCUUUUUUGCCUUCUUGUUGCAGAACUCACCAACAAGACCAUUCAGGACUGAAUUCAUUUCCAGCAGGGAGCGAAUGGUUUGUUGGAACCUGGGGAGGCAGAGCCGCGGGCUGGGACCCGUGCAGGAUGAGUGGGGAUGUGGAUACAGUGAGAUGUGAGCCAAUGACCCCGAGGUUGGAAGCCAAAAUAGUAAACACGGGCUGGAAGAGUGGUUCUGCUUUCUGCUGCCGAUUCUCUCGUUCGUUUGAUUGCCGUGGAUUUAUUUUUGUCGCAGGACUGAAUAAUUCGGAGCCUUUUCAGAAGGCAGAGCUGUGCCUUUCGGGGCUGCACGUGUGGAAAUGCUCAUCUGCUGCCACCGCAGUGGGAAGGGCUUCUGGUCCUGUGCUCUAACGUUGUCCCACUUCUACUUUAACAUGAAAUUAAAGUCUCCCUUAAAAUUAACCUCGUGAGAAUUUAAAGUGAGCAAGCGCGCUUUAUUUUUAUGCAAGAUGUGUGGCUGGCCCCCUAAAUGGCUCCUCAAAUCAUAUUGAUGUGGGUAUCCCACCCAUUUCUAUGGCAGGUGGGGGGUAGCACUGCGAGCGAGCGUUUCCAAUGGAAAUGGGAAAAUAAUAGUGAUGAUCUUUGAGUGAACUUGGGUGGUGUUUGAGAAGUACGGUAUUAUCAGAGCUAAACAGAAGGUGGUCCAUGCAAAGGAUUUCAAUUGAGCUGUUUUGAGAAAUUGACACGUACUUUGAAGUUCUCUGGAGGAAGAUUUUUCCUCUGCCUUUCUUCCCUCGGGGAAAAAAAAAGCCACACAUUUGAACAGAAUUUAUCAUUUCUUGUAAUAUUUUCUAUUUUUAGGGUAUGUCUGUGUUCAGUAUGGAAGGACUGAAAAAAAUCUGUGAUUUUUCUUUAAGAUGUGGAGAUGU